rnacentral:rRNA from 1 species
GCCCAGACUCCUACGGGAGGCAGCAGUGGGGAAUAUUGCACAAUGGGGGAAACCCUGAUGCAGCAACGCCGCGUGAAGGAAGACGGUUUUCGGAUUGUAAACUUCUGUUCUUAGUGAAGAAUAAUGACGGCAGCUAAGGAGCAAGCCACGGCUAACUACGUGCCAGCAGCCGCGGUAAUACGUAGGUGGCAAGCGUUAUCCGGAUUUACUGGGUGUAAAGGGCGUGUAGGCGGGAAAGCAGGUCAGAUGUGAAAACCAUGGGCUCAACCUGUGGCCUGCAUUUGAAACUGUUUUUCUUGAGUACUGGAGAGGCAGACGGAAUUCCUAGUGUAGCGGUGAAAUGCGUAGAUAUUAGGAGGAACACCGGUGGCGAAGGCGGCCUGCUGGACUGCGACUGACGUUGAGGCCCGAGAGCGUGGGGAGCAAACAGGAUUAGAUACCCGGGUAG